rnacentral:lncRNA from 1 species
UAAAACCUAAAACCUCAAAUCCCACUCCCGUUUCUGUUUCGCUCCCACUCCCGAUUCCAACUUCUUUCUGGCGAUUUCUGACGAGCAGCGUUCCCUUCCGGCGAGGGCGAUACCAGCAACUUCCAUGUAAGAGUUUGAUGAAGCACUGAAUCUGCUACCAGGGCUCGCGGUGGUGCGAGGUUGAUGUCGGAGGCUUUGGAGUCCACGACGCACGCUCUACGUCAAAAUACCUGCAAGUGAAACUAGGCGAUUCUAAUGAGACUCGCCGAGUUUCGUAGUGUAGUGCUCUGGUGUGAGAGUGGAACUUGAAUCGUGCCUUUGAGUGUCCCCUUGGGACCCCUUUUAUAGGGUCUCGGAGGGCGCAUUCAUCGGCGGAGAUCGCGCCUAUGGUCAUAUAUGGUAACAUUUAUGACGUUGGCUGCCGCAGAGUAACGGUCGUAAGUCGCCGAUUCAGGUAUGAAAGUCGCCUAGUUAAGGGCUAACUCGGCGAGUUUCUAGGGCCAAGACGUACAGUCUACCAUACUGCCGAUCUUGCCUUAACUCGGUGAGUUAUCCUGUAUGUCAGCGACUUGGUAGUCCAAUCGGGCGACUUUACGGGCUAACUCGGCGAUCUGGACGAUGAACUUGUUCCGCACCGUGGGAGCUCUCCGGGGGUCCUGCCAUAGCGACGGAGCCCUAGUCCUUGUUGAGAGGCGUUGAUGGGUAGUGACUGGUGUAAUCAGGCAUGUCUCACCAGUACUCCCCACUGAAGAGAGCACAAGAAACAUGGUGUAUCAACAGUACCUCUCCGUCAAUCAAGGUUCAAAGUUUUUUGAUCCAGCACCAAGGCCAAAGCGACAAGAUGAGAUCGAAUCAUCCGCCCACAGUGACGUAAUGAUUCAGAAUCCACAGGCCAAAGCGACAAGAAUGGAUCGAGUUCCAGGCCACGUUAACUCAUGUUUAUAGUCCUUCCCUGAUCAGGGGCGACUGCACUGUGUUAUCGAGGCCGAAGCGACAAGAUAAAUUUCGGCCAAAGCGACGGAAUCGAUUAAGGCUAUUUAGCGACAUAAUCGGGUUCUUGCCAGAGCGAUAGAACCAAGUUCUAGCCGAAGCGAUAGAACUAAUGUUUAUAGUCCACUCUGAUCAAGAGCGACUUAAAGUCCGCAACGACGGCCCCUUUCAAGGCUUUUUAGCGACAAGAUGGGUUGAGAAUCGUUAAGGCCAAAGCGACAGAACGAUCUCUAGUGUAUCAAGGCAGAAUGCGACAAGAUACUUAGACUCACUAUUAGAGUCUUAUUCUGGCCAAAGCGACAGAAUAAUACCUGCAAAAAAGAAAAACAUUCUGGCCAAAGCGACGGAAUAAUAUCUGCAAAAUAACAAAAGAAAACAUCCUGCAAAACAACUAGAUCAAUCUGAAAACGCAUAUGUUUAUUGACCGAAAAUACCUCUUGCGAUACUCUUUUCCUUACUUUAGGCAAUCCUUGGUGAAUCUGGCCGAAGCGACAGACUGACCGUGUUUAUGUAUGACGACUUCUAGCCAGANNNNNNNNNNNNNNNNNNNNNNNNNNNNNNNNNNNNNNNNNNNNNNNNNNNNNNNNNNNNNNNNNNNNNNNNNNNNNNNNNNNNNNNNNNNNNNNNNNNNAUACUCCCCCCUGAGGUUUGACAAUCUCUAGCCAAAGCGAUAGACAUGUCGGGAGAGCUUGUGAUACUCCCCCCUGAGUUUUGACGAUUUCUAGCCAAGGCGAUAGAAAUGUCGGGAGAGCUUGUGAUACUCCCCCAUGAGGUUGUGGAAGGGGGCUUGUGAUUUUCCCCCUAAUAUACUGUGUAUAUCCUAAGUCGGCGACUUAAGGUGUUAACUCGUCGACUUAGCAUUGGAGGUAUUUUUGAGAGACCUAGAGGUUCGCUGACCUGGAUCGGCGAUUUUCCUAUAAACUCGGCGAGUCUUAGUAUGAGCUGGCGGAUCUCUUCGAGAAUCCUUAGAAUCUUGGGAAAUAUUUGCAAAUAUGGAAAUUUCCUCCUCGUAUCCCGUGAUUUAUGCUCAAACUCGGCGAGUUUGCGAGAUACUCGCCGAGUUUGCGGAUUUGGAGAUCAAUUAGCGAUUUUUCUUCGCGUAAUUUGUUGAUUCUCCAGGGAAUUUUUGCAAUUUGCCCAGGGCCUAUAAAUAGUGAGUUCCUCUAAUGUAUCCCGCUAUGGCCACGCUCGGGAUUAGGUCGUUCACCUCCGUCAUCAUUGUGGUGAACUUGACCGUAUAGUCCCUCAGAGACAGUUUGUCCUGUCUCAGUGCCAGGAGUGCGUUGGCACUAUGUUUUAUCCUUAUCAUUCCCACGUGUUGGGCGAUGAAUUUGGAUGAGAGGUCUUCAAAGUUGGUGACUGAGCCAGCUGGCAGACCAGAGAACCAUCGAUAUGCGCUGCCCUUGAGAGUGUCGGGGAAUGCCCGACACAGCAGCCCAUCAUCGAUGGUUUGCGGUUCCAAGACGUUGAGGUAGAGGUUCACGUGAUCUUGUGGAUCACUUGAACCGUCGUAUGCCUCGAUUCUUGGUACCCGCCAGUUGGGUGGGAAAACUCCCUUUAAAAGGUCCUCGCUAAGAGGAGCACUUUUAACCCUCAGGAUUUCGUGCGGGUUGCCGACAGCUGGGUCGGUGGCCAACUUCCGCCGAAGAUCCUCUACGAACCGAGUAGUAAGAGUCCUUUCGGAGCGACUCCUACUGGGUCCCGUUUUGGGACGGGAACUCUGUUUUUUCUCCCCAGAUGGAGAAUAGAUGGACCCAGAUUCAUCCGCUCUUUCACGGAUGGUGGUGGUCCUAUGACUCCUCGCUUGCUCGAGGUUGGUCAUCCUUCUUUCAAUGUUGUCCAUGAAACUGAACAACCUUUCUUCCAAGGUGGGUGGAGCCUUGGGCACAAUGUGUUCCUCGACAGGAGGAGGAACUGAGUUUGUUUCCACAGGUUGAGCAUUGAUGGGUCCCUUAGGUCGGGAUUGCUCACCCUGUUACAGCUCAGUUGCUGGCAUUUUUCCCUUACUUCUUGUGGCGUAAGGGUGCUUCUGCUUUUCGAUGAUUGCCAUGAAAGCGAAAGCGAAGAAGUACCAAAGCAGAGAGGUACCUGACUGAGCCUGUUGGAAAAACAAGAGCUAAGUCGACGAGUUAAGUGUUAACUCGGCGAGUUAGGGGUUUUCCCGAACAAGGUCGUGGACAGCACUCUUAGCUAGCAGACGAUAUUCCAGAUCGGGCGAUUCUCAAGGAUAAGUCGGCGAUUUAAGGCUAAAUUGGACGUUAACCGAGAAUCGGACGAUCUAAGUCGGUGAUUUUUUGACAAACUCGGCGAACUUUUGGGAGAGCUCGAGCCGGAUUUUUAAAAAAAAUCGCGAUUACGACGGGAUACCGGUGGUUCGGUAGUCCCACAGACGGCGUCAGCUGAUGAAGCACUGAAUCUGCUACCAGGGCUCGCGGUGGUGCGAGGUUGAUGCCGGAGGCUUUGGAGUCCACGACGCACGCUCUACGUCAAAAUACCUGCAAGUGAAACUAGGCGAUUCUAAUGAGACUCGCCGAGUUUCGUAGUGUAGUGCUCUGGUGUGAGAGUGGAACUUGAAUCGUGCCUUUGAGUGUCCCCUUGGGACCCCUUUUAUAUGGUCUCGGAGGGCGCACUCAUCGGCGGAGAUCGCGCCUAUGGUCAUAUAUAGUAACAUUUAUGACGUUGGCUGCCGCCGAGUAACGGUCGUAAGUCGCCGAUUCAGGUAUGGAAGUCGCCUAGUUAAGGGCUAACUCGACGAGUUUCUAGGGCCAAGACGUACAGUCUACCAUACUGCCGAUCUUGCCUUAACUCGGCGAGUUAUCAUGUAUGUCGGCGACUUGGUAGUCCAAUCGGGCGACUUUACGGGCUAACUCGGCGAUCUGGACGAUGAACGUGUUCCGCACCGUGGGAGCUCUCCGGGGGUCCUGCCAUAGCGACGGAGCCCUAGUCCUUGUUGAGAGGCGUUGAUGGGUAGUGACUGGUGUAAUCAGGCAUGUCUCACCAGAGUUCACCUUUUUUUCCCCAAGACUGUUUUUCCCCAAUACCAUUUGAGUAUUUUCCCCAUUUUCACAAUCCUUCAAUCUUAGAAUAAUCAUGUUUACAAAUACAUUGGGUGUAUGUGUGCAUAACCAACACAUAAAAAUAUAAUACGACAAUAAACUGAAUAUUUAUCCCAACUCCCUGAAACAUUCUUAUCACCAAUAAUAUAACAUACAGUAAGCCUGAAAAAAAAUCAGAUCUUGGUUUAUCCAAUCAAGUCAAUCAAUAAAUCUAUCACCACAUCAGUGAAUUUACCUCAAUAAAGUUUUGUAAACAAAUCAUAUUAUCAUAAUCACAAAUGAAAUGUGAGUAAUUUUCUAUUCAAAAGGUUAAUCACUACAAGGAUGGUAAUUCUCCUGAUACCAUUUUUUAUUUGACAUAUAAUCGAGAGACGGUUGAAAUGUUAACUCUUCUGACAGCGUCCUAAGGAAAUCUUUUGAAAUGUGAAUCCGAUUAGGAUUUGGAGUAAUCUGUUUCUUCUGGAGAGCUUGGAAAAUAUUGUAGUUCCCUUUCAACUGUAAUGCCGUGUUAAAAUACGUGUGUUGGUUGAAUGGUGAGCACGUACCGUGUAUUGUCCAUUCAUGUUUCUAAAAUUCUUGAUUGGUAUUCCAGGGAUUAAAGUUAGAUCAUUCUGCAACCAUUUUUUGUUGUAAAUCUCUAAUGUUGCAGACAUUUAAAACAUCAAAAGGAUUGCAGUUUUCAGGCUGCCCAGAUAAAGGGACGUUAAAUAAAGAAGGCCAAAGUCCAUGAAUUGUAAAACGAGGUCGAGGAUAUUAUUGAUGAAGAAUCCAGGCCACUGGACAUGCUCAAAAGAAAAAUAAAUAAAAAUACAAUUAGUUAUAUAAUUAAAACAAAAUCAAUCAAAUAUACACAAUGCAUUAUAACCUGCAGUGUUAAUUUAUAGUGAUCAAAUGUUGUAGGAGGAGAAGGAGCAACAACAACAUAGGAAAAGCAAAGAGCAGUGAUAACUGCUAAGAUCAAUGCAUGUUGAUAUAUAUUGCAGGUUUGAUAAAUUUGAAUUAAAACUAAUGUUGAAUGUAGUAUGUUUUAAAGCUAGUGUUCUCUUAUUUAUACACGAAAUAGGAUUUAAUAACCUCUAUCGGAUGACACAAGAAAUCUACGUGUGAUCACGAUAUCUUCAUUUCUCACGAUUGGUCUCUUGAUAUCACUGAUUUUGGAAACUAUCAGAAGCUUAUUAAACAAAAAUCAUAUUGGUCUCUUGGUGAUCUUCUUUGUUCUUUUGCGUCAAUGUGAAAUUAGAGUUUUCCAAAAUUUGGGUUAUUUACCUGCAUAGUAAUAUUAAACAUAGAAUACAAAAUAAGUCCUAAAAACAUAUUACAGAGUUUUACAGUUUAAUUCAUCUUAAUUAAGCUGUGAUUCCUUUACACCCCAACUCAACAUGUUUAUAUUUAUCGAUCUGUUCAUAUUAUCUCAACAUCCAAUUGAGAUUGUAUAUGUUGUGAGGCGGUUUAUGGAGAAGUUAAGAAAGAAAUUGUACUGUUUUUUUUUAAACUUUGAGUUUUUUAGGCCAAUAAUGUAAUUUAUCUGUUUUUCUUUCUUUCUUCUGUUGUCCAAAAAAAGUUGAUAUUUGUGGAUAAAGUGAAAUUAAUAAAAGACAGAAAUUAAAAAAGAAUAUUGAUUGUCAUUAGAAUGCAUUAAUGUUAUCAUUAUUUGUUAUAGGAUCGAUCGAGUUUAUUAAACAUGGGAGUUGAUGAAAACCAUUAUUCCAACUCUUCUCCAAGUCUUCAUAAUAACAUGGCAUGUAGAAUAAGCUAGUGAACCUUCACAUGCACCUGUAUUUUUAGAAAUUUAGACAUUACAAGGUAGGAGUUGGUGUUCAAUGCAUGAAUCCAGUCAAAAACAUUACUCCAACUCUUCUCCAAUUUUUUGAUAAACAAAUUGCACUCUUGUUAUCACAUUUAAGAGCUACUGUUUCUAAAGCUACAUCGUAGUCGGAUAAUGUUUGUUUCAUCCACAAAAUUUGAGCGCAUGCAUUAGAUAUUGUCAUAUAUUCUGCUUCAGUUGUGGAUAAAGCAAUACUAUUUUUCUUUUUACAUGACCAUGUUAUGAGUGAGCUUAGAUUUUAUCCUUAGAUUCUAUUUAUGUUUUGAGCAUGAUUAUUUCUUUUUCUUUAUCUCUAAUGAUUUCUUCAAAAUUAUCUAUUUUUAACUCUAGUGAUUCAACCUUAUCAUCAUCUAUUUCCUUAGGUUGAUUUUCUUCAGAUUCUAGAUGUUUAAGUAAUUCAAAAUUUUGACUCUUAAAUGUUUUGAUUUUUUCUUCUCCUUUUUCUAAUUUACUUGAGAGUCUUAGAUUGUCUUCUUUUAAUAACAUGCAUUCUUUUUGUGAUUCUUCUAGCUCAACUGAAUGAUCUAUAUGAGAUUUAUUCAUGUAUUCUAUUUUUAAUGAUUUAUUUAAUUUCUUUUCAGUUUUAUAUUUCAUCAUUAACUCUAGAUAUGCUUCUUCUAAUGAAUUAAAUCUAAUAUUUGCAAAACUUACCUCAGAGUCGCUUUCAUGAGUCAUGAGGCAAUCUUCUUGAUCUGAAUCGGAGUUUGUCUAUUGUGCCUGAUUUGCUUUUUCUUUCUUCAGCAGGGGACAUUCAGGUUUGAUGUAUCCAGGCUUAUCGCACAGAUAACAGAUGGGUUCUUUUGAAUCCUUGUGAUUCCUGCUCAUUUUUCUGUCGGAUUUCUGAUGGAAAGACCUUGAGUCUUUCUUCUUUUUCAGAUAUCUUCUCAGAUGAUUAGUGAUCAUUGCUAAAUCAUUAUCUGAUGCUUCACUGUCAGAUUGACUCUUGAGAGCAAUGUCAUUUUUUCCUUCUUUUGCUCUAGAGAUAAAUCUUUCCUUUUCACUGGCCAUCAAAUUUCCACAGAGUUCCACAACUGUAAGUUUAUUUAGAUCAUGAACCUCUUGGAUAACAUUCCUUUUGGAGUAAUACUUG